rfam:Paraburkholderia phenazinium strain GAS95 genome assembly, contig: Ga0132017_12
GGUCAAGCGAACAAGUGCAUGUGGUGGAUGCCUUGGCGAUCACAGGCGAUGAAGGACGCGGUAGCCUGCGAAAAGCUACGGGGAGCUGGCAAACGAGCUUUGAUCCGUAGAUGUCCGAAUGGGGAAACCCACUCCGAAUGGAGUAUCCAUGACUGAAUACAUAGGUCAUGCGAAGCGAACGCGGCGAACUGAAACAUCUAAGUAGCCGCAGGAAAAGAAAUCAACCGAGAUUCCCAGAGUAGUGGCGAGCGAAAUGGGACCAGCCUGUACUCUUUAUCUUCAUUGUUAGUCGAAGGCUCUGGAAAGUGCCGCCAUAGCAGGUGAUAGCCCUGUAGACGAAAGCAGCGAGGAAGAACUAGGUGUACGACAAGUAGGGCGGGACACGUGAAAUCCUGUCUGAAGAUGGGGGGACCAUCCUCCAAGGCUAAAUACUCGUGAUCGACCGAUAGUGAACCAGUACCGUGAGGGAAAGGCGAAAAGAACCCCGGGAGGGGAGUGAAACAGAUCCUGAAACCGCAUGCAUACAAACAGUCGGAGCCUCGCAAGGGGUGACGGCGUACCUUUUGUAUAAUGGGUCAGCGACUUACAUUCAGUGGCAAGCUUAACCGAUUAGGGCAGGCGUAGCGAAAGCGAGUCCGAACAGGGCGUUCAGUCGCUGGGUGUAGACCCGAAACCAGGUGAUCUAUCCAUGGCCAGGAUGAAGGUGCGGUAACACGUACUGGAGGUCCGAACCCACUAACGUUGAAAAGUUAGGGGAUGAGCUGUGGAUAGGGGUGAAAGGCUAAACAAACCUGGAAAUAGCUGGUUCUCUCCGAAAACUAUUUAGGUAGUGCCUCGUGUAUCACCUUCGGGGUAGAGCACUGUCAUGGUUGAAGGGUCCAUUGCGGAUUACUUCGCCAUAGCAAACUCCGAAUACCGAAGAGUGCAAUCACGGGAGACAGACAUCGGGUGCUAACGUCCGGUGUCAAGAGGGAAACAACCCAGACCGCCAGCUAAGGUCCCCAAAUAUUGCUAAGUGGGAAACGAAGUGGGAAGGCUAAAACAGUCAGGAGGUUGGCUUAGAAGCAGCCAUCCUUUAAAGAAAGCGUAAUAGCUCACUGAUCGAGUCGUCCUGCGCGGAAGAUGUAACGGGGCUAAGCAAUAUACCGAAGCUGCGGAUGCACAUUUAUGUGCAUGGUAGGAGAGCGUUCCGUAAGCCUGCGAAGGUGCAUUGAAAAGUGUGCUGGAGGUAUCGGAAGUGCGAAUGCUGACAUGAGUAGCGAUAAAGGGGGUGAAAGGCCCCCUCGCCGUAAGCCCAAGGUUUCCUACGCAACGUUCAUCGGCGUAGGGUGAGUCGGCCCCUAAGGCGAGGCAGAAAUGCGUAGCUGAUGGGAAGCAGGUUAAUAUUCCUGCACCAUUGUUAAAUGCGAUGGGGGGACGGAUCGCGGAAGGUUGUCCGGGUGUUGGAAGUCCCGGUCGCUGCAUUGGAGAAGGUGCUUUGGCAAAUCCGGGCACGGAAUUCAAGGGUGUGGCGCCAUUCACUUAGGUGAAGAAGCAACUGGAAGUGGUUCCAAGAAAAGCCUCUAAGCUUCAGUUUAACAAGACCGUACCGCAAACCGACACAGGUGGGCGAGAUGAGUAUUCUAAGGCGCUUGAGAGAACUCGGGAGAAGGAACUCGGCAAAUUGGUACCGUAACUUCGGGAUAAGGUACGCCCCUGUAGCCUGACUGGCCUGCGCCAGAAGGGUGAAGGGGUUGCAAUAAACUGGUGGCUGCGACUGUUUAAUAAAAACACAGCACUCUGCAAACACGAAAGUGGACGUAUAGGGUGUGACGCCUGCCCGGUGCCGGAAGAUUAAAUGAUGGGGUGCAAGCUCUUGAUUGAAGUCCCGGUAAACGGCGGCCGUAACUAUAACGGUCCUAAGGUAGCGAAAUUCCUUGUCGGGUAAGUUCCGACCUGCACGAAUGGCGUAACGAUGGCCACACUGUCUCCUCCCGAGACUCAGCGAAGUUGAAGUGUUUGUGAUGAUGCAAUCUCCCCGCGGCUAGACGGAAAGACCCCAUGAACCUUUACUGUAGCUUUGCAUUGGACUUUGAACCGGUCUGUGUAGGAUAGGUGGGAGGCUUUGAAGCGUGGACGCCAGUCUGCGUGGAGCCAACCUUGAAAUACCACCCUGGUUUGUUUGAGGUUCUAACCUUGGCCCGUGAUCCGGGUCGGGGACAGUGCAUGGUAGGCAGUUUGACUGGGGCGGUCUCCUCCCAAAGUGUAACGGAGGAGUACGAAGGUACGCUAGGUACGGUCGGAAAUCGUGCUGAUAGUGCAAUGGCAUAAGCGUGCUUAACUGCGAGACCGACAAGUCGAGCAGGUGCGAAAGCAGGUCAUAGUGAUCCGGUGGUUCUGUAUGGAAGGGCCAUCGCUCAACGGAUAAAAGGUACUCUGGGGAUAACAGGCUGAUACCGCCCAAGAGUUCAUAUCGACGGCGGUGUUUGGCACCUCGAUGUCGGCUCAUCUCAUCCUGGGGCUGUAGCCGGUCCCAAGGGUAUGGCUGUUCGCCAUUUAAAGAGGUACGUGAGCUGGGUUUAAAACGUCGUGAGACAGUUUGGUCCCUAUCUGCCGUGGGCGCUGGAUAUUUGAAGGGGGCUGCUCCUAGUACGAGAGGACCGGAGUGGACGAACCUCUGGUGUACCGGUUGUCACGCCAGUGGCAUCGCCGGGUAGCUAUGUUCGGAAGAGAUAACCGCUGAAAGCAUCUAAGCGGGAAACUCGCCUUAAGAUGAGAUAUCCCCGGGGCUUCGAGCCCCUUGAAGGGUCGUUCAAGACCAGGACGUUGAUAGGUCAGGUGUGGAAGCGCAGUAAUGCGUUAAGCUAACUGAUACUAAUUGCCCGUAAGGCUUGAUCCU